rnacentral:sRNA from 1 species
GCUGGGUGUGGUGGCGCAUGCCUGUAAUCCCAGCGACUUGGGAGGCUAAGACAGGAGGAUCACGUUCAAAGCCAGCCUCAGCAAUGGCAAGGGGCUUAGCAACUCAGUGAGACCCUGUCUCUA